GGGUGAUUAGCUCAGCUGGGAGAGCAUCUGCCUUACAAGCAGAGGGUCGGCGGUUCGAUCCCGUCAUCACCUC
rnacentral:tRNA from 1 species